UUGGUUCCAUGAUGUUCUAUGAUGUCACAAUGGUUUCCAUGGUUCUGGACUCUAACAAUGGAUCCUUUGUUCCAUGAGAUUCCAUGAUGUCACAAUGGUCUCUUUGGUUCCAGACUACUGUAACAAUGGUUCCUUUGUUCCAUGAGAUUCCAUGAUGUCACAAUGGUCUCCUUGGUUCCAUGAGGCCUUGCUUUAUCACAAUGGACCCAUGGUUCCAUGAGCUUCCGUAAUGUCACCAUGGUCCUAUCAGAUCUGCAUUGUCACAAUGGACAACUGGUUUCAUGGGACCCUGCUGUGUCACAAUAAACCCUUAGUGCCAAUCAAGUUUUCUAGGGUCACAAUGGUCUUCCCGGUUCAACGACACCUUGCAGUGUCACAAUGGCUGUUUGGUUCCAUGAGCUUCCAUAGUGUCAGCCAUGGUCUCCUUGUUUCUGCAGUGUCACAAUGGAUCCUUGGUUCCAUGAGCUUCCGUAGGGUCACCGUGGUCUCCUUGGUUCCAUGUGGCCCUGCUGUGUCACAAUGGACCCUUGGUUCCAUGAGGUACCUAAAUGUCACUGGUCUCCUUGGUUCCAUGUGGCCCUGCUGUGUCACAAUGGUCCCAUGAGUCCAUGUCCCUUGCUUCCAUGAGUUUCUGUACUGUCAUCAAUGGUUCCUCUCUUCCAAUGCGGGCCUGCUGUGUCACAAUAAACCCUGGGGUCCAUGAAGUUCUUCAGCACCACAAUGGCCCUGUGGAUCCAUGAGGUUCCUUAGUGUCACCACGGUCUCCGUGAAUCCACAUUGUCAUAAUGGACAAUUCGUACCAUGAGUCCCACUGUGUCGCAGUGACCCCUUGCUUCCAUGAGGCCCCUCUUUGUCACCAUGGACCCUUGGUUCCAUAGGUUUUAUCCUCUAACAAUGGACUCCUUGGUUCUGUGAGUUACCCUGCUUUUUACAGAGGUUUCUUUGCUUGCAACAAGGCCCAGCUGUGCCUCAAUGCACCCUUGGUUCCAUGAGGAUCUGGAGGAUCACAAAGGAUCCUUUGAUCCACAGGGUGUCGAGGAAUUUCUCGUGGAACAAGGACAUGCUAUUCUUGAUGCUAUUCCUUUGCAGGAGCUGGACAACCCUGGCCUGCAGAUUACUGAAUUACUUUAGUUAAUUUAAAGUACUUAGGACAUCCUUGGAAAAACAAUAAGCCUUGUACAAACACAAUAGUCAAUGCUGGACGCUGAGUAGUAUAUGAAAACUGUCAUGUACUAUAACCUGAUCAGACGCUUGUAGAAUAACAGCCAAUCAAUACAUGACAAUAGCAAAUAAAUAUUCAUUGGUUAACGUAAUAUAAUUAUAUAUAUUACGUUAACCAAUGAAUGUUAAUUUACUAUGUAUUUUGUAAGGCGAUGAAGGAAUAAAAUAUGAAAAAAUUAGACAAUAAAGGAGGAUGACAUCAAGCCAUAUUGGUUUGGGUGUCAUUACUCCAGCUGGCUCUCCGUGGGACCCUCUUCAGAUUGUCAGCAACAAGGGGUCUUGAUUUUCAUACCUAUUAAAAAUGGAUUAGGAGAUGCUAGGGAUCCAUAUCAACUGGGGAAUUGCUGAUAUCAAUCUAUAAAUAGGAAAAGUAAACAGGACAAAACAAUUCCCUCUGCACUGUUUUCAAUAUAGUAGGUUGACUUUAAAUACACUUCUGCAAUCUGUCGAAUUAACAACUGAAGAAUUCAAGACUUGAAUUAUUUCCAUGGGCUUGUCUUGUUUGGGUGUUUUGAAGAAAUAUGAAUGAGCCUUUGUCACUAAAUUUCUAUACUGAAGAGCUCAAGAAAGAAGAGGCCUCUGGAGUAGUAAAGUUCAUCACCAACCUCCAAGGUGCUGAGGAUCCAUCCCCAUCAGCGCAGCAAUGAACAGAAAUGGGCACAGCUUUGUGGCUGCCCCAGCUCUGGGAUGGGCCCUGGGCCUGGAGCAGGAGCAGCUCUGGAGGGCCCCAAGGCCGGGGCUCUUGUGCUGGCCUGGGCAGACAAGAUGGCAGGAGGGGCUACAGAGCUCUCAGAUCUCCUGGAGAGGAGAGCAGGACACCCAGGGAGCCUCCUUUGCCUUGGCCAGGCCCGUUCCCCCAUGGUGGGGCUGAGUCCUGGCUGAGCUGCAGCUGCUGCUGUGCCCUUGGCAGGGGCUGAGGCCGUGGGGCAGUGCCCAGAGCAGCCUGGCCUGAGCAGAGCUGUGGGGCCAGAGCCGGCUGGGCUGUGCUGGGGAGAGGCCCUUGGUGCUGCCCAGAGCUCAGGGCAGCUGGCAGAGCUUGCAGGGAGCUGGGCUGGGCUGGGAGAGCCUGGCACAGAAACCAUCAGUGUCCAUCUCAGCCUGGAUGAGCGUGUAGGGGCCAAGGACAGCAGGCCCUUGGGUAAUGCUCAGUGGGUUUUUCGCUCAUAAAUUAUCAUCAAUAACAUUUUUUAACCCCCACCAUCUAAGUCACUGUCUGCCUCUUGGAUGUGACCCAUAAGCUCUGUAAACCACGGUUUGUGCUAUCGCUACAUUUGAACAAAAUAAACUACCCUGCAGUGCCUGUUUUAUCUGGGAUUCCAGUCUGAGGCCUGCAUGAAGUUAGAGGGGAGAAGAGGAAGAGAGCUCCAGCAGAGCAGCACUGCCAGGGAGCAGCAGGGACUGGUCCUUUUGGAGCUGCCCUUCCCAACUCCACCCUCUCCUUCCCAGCCCUGCUGUGGCUGUAAGGCCGCAGUGCUCUGGCAGCUUGGUCACUGUCCUGCUGCGUGUCCGUGCUGUGACCACAGGCAGGGACAGGCCGUGGGCACUGCUGGGACACAGCUGGGCUCCAGCACAGCAGCUCCAUCAGCAAAGGGCAUCUCCUGAGGGCAGGGCAGGAAGGCUUUGCUCUCCUCCAGAGCUGCUGUCAGCAAUGUGCUCCAGGAAUGCCCUGGCACAGCAAAGCCCAGUGCCUGGGCAGAGGGCGAGUGUGCAGGGGGGCACACAGCAGUGUCCUGGCACAGCCAGAGCUCCUGGCAUGGACCUGAUGGAGGAGCAGAGCAGGGCCUGGGCUGUGUCUUUGUUCUGGGGACAGCCUGGGAAGGUGCCCCACCACAAUUGUCCCACACCAGCCCCUGCAACCACCAUUGCCAGCACUGGCCUCUCCCCCACCUGCAGGAGGUUGUUUGUCCCUGCAUGGAGGGACACCAAGUGACCAGGCCAGCAGGCCAUGUUUGCUGUGUACUGGGGAGAUUUUAGCAGUGCAUCGUGUGUGUGUGUGUGUGGGGAGAUGAACCUGUGUGAGCACAAACACCAUCAGCAGCACUCGGGGGUGGCACAAUUCCAGUGGCACAAACAGUGCCUUGAGGCCAUUUUACUCUGAGAGUAACCUCCUCUGGGAAAGCACCUGAAUUCUUUGCUGGGCGGUGGUUAGGACAGCAUAGAGACAAACAUCCUGGGCAGGGAGGCUCCAGGAAAAAAUGCUCAGGGCAGCCAUGGACUGCACAGAGAGACAUUGGAUGGAGUGAGGGUCUGUGGGGAGAAAACCCUGCUGCCUCCCUUCUGAACCACCCUGAGGACCUGGACAGGGCUGUGCUGUGUUCUGGCCACUGAUCUGGGACUGAGGGAUGUGGAAAAGGCCUUUGGUGUCAGGCCUGUUGAGAAGGCUGGGCAGCGUCACUGUGGCACCUCUCUCAAACUCCCUGGAAAGGCCAGAGCCAUCCCAGAGGGUCCUGGGCACUUGGGAAGGGCAGACAUGGAACCAGUCUGGGCAGGGAGGGGGACUGGGAGAGUCACGGACUGGUCAGGCUCGGCAGGGAACGGGAUGUGGCAAAUCCUCCUGCAGCCAUUCCAGGCACUGGCAGGACAAGGCAGGGACUGCAGAACCCACGUGGGAGGGAAAAGAAGGGGAUGUUGUGUGCCCAGGCUUCAGCAGGCCUGUGACAGGGUCUGCUGUGGUCUCCUCAGAGCCAGACUGGAGAGACCCGGGCUGAAGGAGUGGAACAUGGGGUGGGUGGGAAUUUGGCUGAACAAUGAGGCUCAAAUGUCAUCCAUGGUACAGAGUCCUCUUGGCAGCCACGCCCUGCUGACAUCCCUCAGUGACCAGCCCUUGACCACCACUGUGGAUUAUUUCUAUUAUCUCUACAAGGACAUGAAAUGCACUUUCAAUUCUUGGUGGAUGCUGCCAAAUUGCAGGGAGUCUGUGACUGAACUCAUCUAGUAAUGGUGACUGCUAAACAUAACUGGGCAAGAUGACUGAGUUGGGUAAAUUUGUCUUGCCAUCAGGUGCCAAGCAAGGCACAAGG
rnacentral:lncRNA from 1 species